UACAGAGGAGCCAAGCGUUGUCCGGAUUGACUGGGCGUAAAGCGCACGCAGGCGGUCGCGCGCGUGGGGUGUGAAAUCUGGCCGCUUAACGGCCAGGCGCCAUCCCAUACGGCGCGACUGGAGUGAUGCAGAGGUCGAUGGAAUUGCCGGUGUAGUGGUGAAAUGCGUAGAGAUUGGCAGGAACACCCAGGGGGAAACCAGUCGACUGGGCAUCUACUGACGCUGAGGUGCGAGAGCGUGGGGAGCGAACCGG
rnacentral:rRNA from 1 species